rnacentral:rRNA from 1 species
UACGUAGGGGGCAAGCGUUGUCCGGAUUUAUUGGGCGUAAAGAGCGUGUAGGCGGCCAAGCAGGUCCGCUGUGAAAACUCGAGGCUCAACCUCGAGACGUCGGUGGAAACCGUUUGGCUAGAGUCCGGAAGAGGAGAGUGGAAUUCCUGGUGUAGCGGUGAAAUGCGCAGAUAUCAGGAGGAACACCGGUGGCGAAGGCGAGUCUCUGGACAUUUCCUAACGCUGAGGCACGAAAGCGUGGGGAGCAAACAGG